GCAUUCCCUGUAUGGGUAAACUGUCACAUGUUAGGGUAAAGUUACAUUGUCCGUAAGACUUUUGUGUUUAUAGUGAUAGAUGGUGCUUGUUUAUGGAUGUCUGAGAGGAGUAGAGAGUAGGUUCGGGGAAGGGAGUCUGCUCAUUAUGUAACUGCCGUUUGGAAAAGUGUUUUCGCGCUCAGCUUUCUGAGUCUGACAUUCCUUCAGUUCCAUUGGGAUUCGGUUAGACAACACAGCGAGAGCAGAUCACAGAGAAACAAAGUGCGCAGAGUACGUGCUCAUCCUCAUCCUGUCAUAUCGCAUGUCGCACUUGUGGAGGGUCUAACAAGGGUUUUAUACAAGACAAUGACUUUGGCAUUCAGGUCUCAUGGAAAACAGUGGCGUUUAUGUAAAGUUUUCUAAAGAGACAUGCCAACUGAAUUCCCCAUCAGACAAACUGAAGCAAGAGUUGGAACAAGAGUUGAAAUUAAGCAGCUGUAACUUAUCAAGUCAUGGCUGGUACCAUGGUCGCAUACCUUGGGAGGUGAGUUUAUAAAUAUUUUUAUGUACACUUUUAGAAAUAAAGGUUCCAAAUGAUGUUUUCCUAGCAAUGCCAUAGAAGAACCAAUUUUGGUUCCCUCAAAAGAAUCUUUUAGUUAACAG